rnacentral:rRNA from 1 species
AUUGAACGCUGGCGGCAGGCUUAACACAUGCAAGUCGAGCGGAGUGAUGUAGCUUGCUACAUUACCUAGCGGCGGACGGGUGAGUAAUGCUUAGGAAUCUGCCUAUUAGUGGGGGACAACAUUCCGAAAGGAAUGCUAAUACCGCAUACGCCCUACGGGGGAAAGCAGGGGAUCUUCGGACCUUGCGCUAAUAGAUGAGCCUAAGUCAGAUUAGCUAGUUGGUGGGGUAAAGGCCUACCAAGGCGACGAUCUGUAGCGGGUCUGAGAGGAUGAUCCGCCACACUGGGACUGAGACACGGCCCAGACUCCUACGGGAGGCAGCAGUGGGGAAUAUUGGACAAUGGGCGCAAGCCUGAUCCAGCCAUGCCGCGUGUGUGAAGAAGGCCUUUUGGUUGUAAAGCACUUUAAGCGAGGAGGAGGCUACCGAGAUUAAUACUCUUGGAUAGUG